rnacentral:rRNA from 1 species
UACGUAGGGUGCAAGCGUUAAUCGGAAUACUGGGCGUAAAGCGUGCGCAGGCGGUGAUGUAAGACAGAUGUGAAAUCCCCGGGCUCAACCUGGGAACUGCAUUUGUGACUGCAUCGCUGGAGUACGGCAGAGGGGGAUGGAAUUCCGCGUGUAGCAGUGAAAUGCGUAGAUAUGCGGAGGAACACCGAUGGCGAAGGCAAUCCCCUGGGCCUGUACUGACGCUCAUGCACGAAAGCGUGGGGAGCAA